GAAAAAAGACGAACAAAAAGUCCAAGAUGACAACGAUAAAAAUCCGGACUUCGGAGAGUAAUAGGCUAUACCAUCGCGUGGGUCGGCCAUUUUGCAUAUAAUUUGCGUUGCAGACAGGGUAGUCAAUAUUUUUGCUAAGGUUUCUUUACUUCCCUCAUCAUGUCAUUCCGAGGUGGAAGGGGUGGAGGUCGCGGUGGUGGAAGCGGUGGAAAGAAACCAUAUACAGUAUCAACAAAGCUCUACAUUGGCAACAUACCAGAAACAUGCCGAAGGAUGGACUUACAGAAACUGUUUGAGAACUAUGGCAAAGUUGUGGAAUGUGACAUUGUGAAAAACUACGGAUUUGUGCAUUAUGAAGAUGAAGACGAGGCAAAACAGGCGACUGCUGAACUGAACAACACUGAAUUUCAGGGCUCUAUAUUGACUGUGGAGCUGUCGCACAGUAGAGUUAGACAUAAACCAGGCAUGGGAGGUAAACAAGAAUGCUACAGAUGUGGAAAGGAGGGUCAUUGGUCAAAAGACUGUCCAAAGGGACCAAGCCGGCCAAAGGGCUACUCAGACCGUGGACCAGAUCCCUAUGACUAUUACAGAGACAGGUACCCACCCCCACCUCCCCCAGACCGUUUCAGACCAUACCCAGACCCUUAUGACAGGAGGCCACCAUUGCCAAGAGAUCCAUAUGCAGCUUACCCAAGAGAAAGAGACCCAUACGCCAGGCCACCUCCAGAAUACUAUGGCAGAAGAGAUCCAUAUGCUGCCUAUGACAGAAGAUCAGCAGACCCAUAUCUUGAUGACUACUACAGACGACCAGCUGGGUGAUUUUGCAUUGGUUGGAAAAGGAUAAACACAAAUGGAGAAGGGCCGAAACUUGAAAAUCCAGUCUCGUCAUUUGGUUGUAGAAAAAGGAACCCUGUCCCCAGUGUGAGUUACUGGGUGUAUGAGCAGUGGUCAUGAUGUAAAUCCAAUACCCAGCUGUAUCUACUGAAGGGAAGAAAACCAGGAAACAUUAUCUGAGAGAUGUGUACAGAGCCUGUGACUGAGGUGUUACCAGUCUUGUGCAGUUAUCUUUGUGUCCAUUGUCAUAUAAACAACAAAGAUGCUGUAUCAUACAUUAGGAUGGAGGAGGAGCAGUUUUCUGUUCUGUGAGAAAGUGAAGAGAAGUAGUUACCAAUGAAACCUGAAUGCUGGAGGUCGGAAAGUCAGACAGCUGGUGGAAUGAUAGUUGAAGAGAGAUGCAUUGUAGUGUUGCAGAAUUUUAAAUAAAAUUAUCGAAAAUCCAA